AUUUAAAUGAAAAGAGCUAUGGUUCUAAUUACAAACUUCAUCACAACAAGAAGUACACUUCUGUAAUCGGUGUUCUAAUGGUACCUACUCUUUGACUCCAUAAGGUAAGUUAACGUAAGUAAAACUUUAAAAAAAACUUUUAUUUCACACGGGGGGGACGGGACACAAAGACGUGUAUACAGGUAGGGAUAGGGACACUGUAGCGUUAGGAAUAAAGAUUUGUAUUCCUAAUGCUAUAGUGUUCCUUUAAAAGAAUCAUAAGGAUAAUUUAUUUCCAUAUUGUGAGUUUAUUAAGCAUUCCUCUAGAUGGCACCAUUGCAACUUUGUGAUCACUGC